GGGGGCAACCCUGGCGGCGAGCGGCGAACGGGUGAGUAAUGUAUCGGAACGUGCCCAGUCGUGGGGGAUAACUAUCCGAAAGGAUAGCUAAUACCGCAUACGACCUGAGGGUGAAAGCGGGGGACCGCAAGGCCUCGCGCGAUUGGAGCGGCCGAUAUCGGAUUAGCUAGUUGGUGAGGUAAAGGCUCACCAAGGCGACGAUCCGUAGCUGGUCUGAGAGGACGACCAGCCACACUGGAACUGAGACACGGUCCAGACUCCUACGGGAGGCAGCAGUGGGGAAUUUUGGACAAUGGGGGCAACCCUGAUCCAGCCAUUCCGCGUGAGUGAAGAAGGCCUUCGGGUUGUAAAGCUCUUUCAGCAGGAACGAAACGGCUCUCUCUAACAUAGGGAGUUAAUGACGGUACCUGAAGAAGAAGCACCGGCUAACUACGUGCCAGCAGCCGCGGUAAUACGUAGGGUGCGAGCGUUAAUCGGAAUUACUGGGCGUAAAGCGUGCGCAGGCGGCGCCAUAAGACAGAUGUGAAAUCCCCGGGCUUAACCUGGGAACUGCGUUUGUGACUGUGGUGCUCGAGUGUGGCGGAGGGGGGUGGAAUUCCACGUGUAGCAGUGAAAUGCGUAGAGAUGUGGAGGAACACCGAUGGCGAAGGCAGCCCCCUGGGUCAACACUGACGCUCAUGCACGAAAGCGUGGGGAGCAAACAGGAUUAGAUACCCUGGUAGUCCACGCCCUAAACGAUGCGAACUAGGUGUUGGGGAAGGAGACUCUCUUAGUACCGCAGCUAACGCGUGAAGUUCGCCGCCUGGGGAGUACGGUCGCAAGAUUAAAACUCAAAGGAAUUGACGGGGACCCGCACAAGCGGUGGAUGAUGUGGAUUAAUUCGAUGCAACGCGAAAAACCUUACCUACCCUUGACAUGCCAGGAAGUCCGCUGAGAAGUGGAUUUGCCCGAAAGGGAACCUGGACACAGGUGCUGCAUGGCUGUCGUCAGCUCGUGUCGUGAGAUGUUGGGUUAAGUCCCGCAACGAGCGCAACCCUUGUCAUUAAUUGCCAUCAUUCAGUUGGGCACUUUAAUGAGACUGCCGGUGACAAACCGGAGGAAGGUGGGGAUGACGUCAAGUCCUCAUGGCCCUUAUGGGUAGGGCUUCACACGUCAUACAAUGGUCGGUACAGAGGGUUGCCAACCCGCGAGGGGGAGCCAAUCCCACAAAGCCGAUCGUAGUCCGGAUCGCAGUCUGCAACUCGACUGCGUGAAGUCGGAAUCGCUAGUAAUCGUGGAUCAGCAUGUCACGGUGAAUACGUUCCCGGGUCUUGUACACGC
rnacentral:rRNA from 1 species